rnacentral:rRNA from 1 species
CAGAUUGAACGCUGGCGGCAGGCCUAACACAUGCAAGUCGAACGGUAACAGGAAGCAGCUUGCUGCUUYGCUGACGAGUGGCGGACGGGUGAGUAAUGUCUGGGAAACUGCCUGAUGGAGGGGGAUAACUACUGGAAACGGUGGCUAAUACCGCAUAACGUCGCAAGACCAAAGAGGGGGACCUUCGGGCCUCUUGCCAUCAGAUGUGCCCAGAUGGGAUUAGCUUGUUGGUGAGGUAACGGCUCACCAAGGCGACGAUCCCUAGCUGGUCUGAGAGGAUGACCAGCCACACUGGAACUGAGACACGGUCCAGACUCCUACGGGAGGCAGCAGUGGGGAAUAUUGCACAAUGGGCGCAAGCCUGAUGCAGCCAUGCCGCGUGUAUGAAGAAGGCCUUCGGGUUGUAAAGUACUUUCAGCGGGGAGGAAGGUGUUGUGGUUAAUAACCGCAGCAAUUGACGUUACCCGCAGAAGAAGCACCGGCUAACUC